AGAGCCCUCUUCUCCUGCCUUUGCUCUAUCUGGUCAAGUUCCUGCCAAGAUGUCCUGCCAGCAGAGCCAGAAGCAGUGCCAGCCUCCUCCCAAGUGCCCCUCCCCGAAGUGCUCCCCAAAGUGCCCCCCAAAGAGCACAGCACAGUGUCUGCCUGCAGCCUCUUCCUGCUGUGCUACAAGCUCUGGGGGCUGCAGUGUCCCCAGCUCUGAGGGAGGCUGCUGCCUGAGCCACCACAGGCGCAGGUCCCACAGAUGCAGGCGCAGGAGCUCCAGUUCCUGUGACCGUGGCAGUGGUCAGCAGUCUGGGGGCUCAGGCUGUGGUCACACCUCUGGGGGCUGCUGCUAACUUGGAACAUGAUGCUGAGAUCAGGGAGUCGGGAGGAAAAAAGAAUCCCAAAGGUCAAAGAGAGCCCAGCCAGUCUUGUCAUGUCUGAUUCUGCAGAGCAUUCUCUGCUUGUAUGAUGCCCAGGUCCCUUGUUCCCACCCUUCCUGUGGAGUCCCAUUGCCUAUCCCUGAUUCUGACCAAGAAUAAAGCUUCUAUCAACCGUC
rnacentral:lncRNA from 1 species